UUAAAUUGAAGAGUUUGAUCAUGGCUCAGAUUGAACGCUGGCGGCAGGCCUAACACAUGCAAGUCGAACGGUAACAGGAAGCAGCUUGCUGCUUCGCUGACGAGUGGCGGACGGGUGAGUAAUGUCUGGGAAACUGCCUGAUGGAGGGGGAUAACUACUGGAAACGGUAGCUAAUACCGCAUAACGUCGCAAGACCAAAGAGGGGGACCUUCGGGCCUCUUGCCAUCGGAUGUGCCCAG
rnacentral:rRNA from 1 species